UUCCGGUUGAUCCUGCCAGAGGUUACUGCUAUCGGUGUUCGCCUAAGCCAUGCGAGUCAUAUGUAGCAAUACAUGGCGUACUGCUCAGUAACACGUGGAUAACCUGCCCUUGGGACCGGCAUAACCCCGGGAAACUGGGGAUAAUUCCGGAUAACGCAUAUUUGCUGGAAUGCUUUAUGCGUCAAAAGGAUUCGUCUGCCCAAGGAUGGGUCUGCGGCCUAUCAGGUAGUAGUGGGUGUAAUGUACCUACUAGCCAGCGACGGGUACGGGUUGUGAGAGCAAGAGCCCGGAGAUGGAUUCUGAGACAUGAAUCCAGGCCCUACGGGGCGCAGCAGGCGCGAAAACUUUACAAUGCGGGAAACCGUGAUAAGGGGACACCGAGUGCCAGCAUCAUAUGCUGGCUGUCCGGAUGUGUAAAAUACAUCCGUUAGCAAGGGCCGGGCAAGACCGGUGCCAGCCGCCGCGGUAACACCGGCGGCCCGAGUGGUGAUCGUGAUUAUUGGGUCUAAAGGGUCCGUAGCCGGUUUGGUCAGUCCUCCGGGAAAUCUGAUAGCUUAACUAUUAGGCUUUCGGGGGAUACUGCCAGACUUGGAACCGGGAGAGGUAAGAGGUACUACAGGGGUAGGAGUGAAAUCUUGUAAUCCCUGUGGGACCACCUGUGGCGAAGGCGUCUUACCAGAACGGGUUCGACGGUGAGGGACGAAAGCUGGGGGCACGAACCGGAUUAGAUACCCGGGUAGUCCCAGCCGUAAACGAUGCUCGCUAGGUGUCAGGCAUGGCGCGACCGUGUCUGGUGCCGCAGGGAAGCCGUGAAGCGAGCCACCUGGGAAGUACGGCCGCAAGGCUGAAACUUAAAGGAAUUGGCGGGGGAGCACAACAACGGGUGGAGCCUGCGGUUUAAUUGGAUUCAACGCCGGG
rnacentral:rRNA from 1 species